rnacentral:rRNA from 1 species
UACGUAGGGUGCAAGCGUUGUCCGGAAUUAUUGGGCGUAAAGAGCGUGUAGGCGGUCUGAAUAGUCUGCUGUGAAAGCGCCUGGCUUAACCGGGCGAGGUCGGCGGAAACUCUCAGACUGGAGGCCGGUAGAGGGGGGUGGAAUUCCCGGUGUAGUGGUGAAAUGCGUAGAGAUCGGGAGGAACACCUGUGGCGAAGGCGGCCCCCUGGGCCGCGCCUGACGCUGAGACGCGAAAGCGUGGGGAGCAAACAGG